rnacentral:rRNA from 1 species
AUUGAACGCUGGCGGCAUGCCUUACACAUGCAAGUCGAACGGCAGCGGGGACUUCGGUCCGCCGGCGAGUGGCGAACGGGUGAGUAAUGUAUCGGAACGUACCAUUGAGUGGGGGAUAACUAUCCGAAAGGAUAGCUAAUACCGCAUAUUCUCUCCGGAGGAAAGCAGGGGACCGCAAGGCCCUGCGCUCAUUGAGCGGCCGAUAUCAGAUUAGCUAGUUUGUGAGGUAAAGGCUCACCAAGGCGACGAUCUGUAGCGGGUCUGAGAGGAUGAUCCGCCACACUGGAACUGAGACACGGUCCAGACUCCUACGGGAGGCAGCAGUGGGGAAUUUUGGACAAUGGGCGCAAGCCUGAUCCAGCCAUGCCGCGUGAGUGAAGAAGGCCUUCGGGUUGUAAAGCUCUUUCGGCCGGGAAGAAAUCGCACAGGUUAAUACCCUGUGUGGAUGACGGUACCGGAAUAAGAAGCACCGGCUAACUACGUGCCAGCCGCCGCUGUAACAC